rnacentral:rRNA from 1 species
UCGAGGGGCAGCGGUGGUGAAGGCUUGCCUUUACCAGCCGGCGACCGGCGCACGGGCGAGUAACACGUAUGCAACCUGCCUGCCACAGCCGGAUAAUCGGGAGAAAUUCCGUCUAAUACGGCAUAAUGCACCUAUGGGACAUCCUGUUGGUGCCAAAGGUUGAUUCCGGUGGCGGAUGGGCAUGCGUCGCAUUAGUUAGUUGGCGGUGUAACGGACCACCAAGACGACGAUGCGUAGGGGUUCUGAGAGGAAGGUCCCCCACACUGGUACUGAGACACGGACCAGACUCCUACGGGAGGCAGCAGUGAGGAAUAUUGGUCAAUGGGCGGGAGCCUGAACCAGCCAAGUCGCGUGAGGGAUGACGGCCCUAUGGGUUGUAAACCUCUUUUGCCGGGGAGCAAAGUGCCGCACGUGUGCGGUUUGGAGAGUACCCGGAGAAAAAGCAUCGGCUAACUCCGUGCCAGCAGCCGCGGUAAUACGGAGGAUGCGAGCGUUAUCCGGAUUUAUUGGGUUUAAAGGGUGCGUAGGCGGACGCUUAAGUCAGCGGUAAAAUUGCGGGGCUCAACCUCGUCGAGCCGUUGAAACUGGGUGCCUUGAGUGGGCGAGAAGUACGCGGAAUGCGUGGUGUAGCGGUGAAAUGCAUAGAUAUCACGCAGAACUCCGAUUGCGAAGGCAGCGUACCGGCGCCCAACUGACGCUGAAGCACGAAGGCGUGGGUAUUGAACAGGGAUUAGAUACCCUGGGUAGUCCACGCAGUAAACGAUGAAUGCUAGUUGUCCGGGGCGAUUGAGUUCUGGGUGACACAGCGAAAGCGUUAAGCAUUCCACCUGGGGAGUACGCCGGCAACGGUGAAACUCAAUUGAAUUGACGGGGGCCCGCACAAGCGGAGGAGGGUGUGGAAUAAAAAGAUGAUAUGCGAGGAACCUUACCCGGGCUCAAACGCAGGAGGGAUGUUUAAAAAAAAAGGCAGCCAGCAAUGGUCUCCUGCGAGGUGCUGCAUGGUUGUCGUCAGCUCGUGCCGUGAGGUGUCGGCUUAAGUGCCAUAACGAGCGCAACCCCUACCUACAGUUGCCAUCGCGUGAUGGCGGGCACUCUGUGGGGACUGCCUGCGCAAGCAGUGAGGAAGGCGGGGAUGACGUCAAAUCAGCACGGCCCUUACGUCCGGGGCGACACACGUGUUACAAUGGGAGGUACAGCGGGAAGCCACCCGGCGACGGGGCGCGGAACCCGAAAACCUGUCUCAGUUCGGAUUGGAGUUUGAAGGCCGACUCCAUGAAGCUGGAUUCGCUAGUAAU